UGCGGGAUAGAGUAGAGGUUAACUCAUCAGAUUCAUAACCUGAAGAUCAUAGGUUCAAAUCCUAUUCCCGCUA
rnacentral:tRNA from 1 species